UCUCCCGGCUGCGGUAUUGCUGUUGUCUCUGCUCUUGGUUUUCUCUUUCUGCUGUGGUCCACUGCCUUCCUCCUCCAUCCCGACCUUAGCCUCGCCGCCACCGGCGCCGCACUCGCCGGGGCUGCCUCCCGAGGCUGCAGGACGUUGAGCGCGGCAUGGAGGACCCUGGCCUGCCGGCCUAUUCGGGCCAAGGUCCGGAAGGCCACGUUGGCCGCAUGCGCAGUGGAAGGAGCCGGACCCUGUGCGGGCCGCACCCUACUCCCGCCUCAGCCCGUAGGGCCUCGUGCUCCGGUGUGACGGUCUCCAGAGUGUCCAGUAGAUGAAUUGGUGAUGAGUCCUGAUGCACAGGAUUUAGCUGUACCAGAAUGAAGAUUCCAGGGUGACCUUUCGGGUGAGUGAAGACUGGGGUCAUGACAGUGAUGGAACACAGCAGCUUCAGGACCUGGUUGCCCCGAGGUUUUACUGGUAGUACCUGAUACUGAAGUAUGUGAAAAUAUCAGCUUAUUCCUGGAGCUGUGCUUUAGAAAAAGAUCUGUUACCAGUAAAGCUGUCUUCAUCUGUGAUUGUGGAUCUACAGAAUUGGGAGAGAAACACUACAGGAAGAGGCAAAUGAAGACACAAGGAACUUUUUUAGGUGGAAAUAGCACCUUUUUCCUUUUUUUGCUGAUGCUGAUACCUGGCAUAUAAGUGACCAAUAAAAGAUUCCUGAAUGUA